CCUACGGGAGGCAGCAGUGGGGAAUAUUGCGCAAUGGGCGAAAGCCUGACGCAGCGACGCCGCGUGAGGGAUGAAGGUCCUCGGAUCGUUAACCUCUGUCAGCAGGGAAGAACGGUCACUGUGCUAAUCAGCAGUGAAUUGACGGUACCUGCAAAGGAAGCACCGGCUAACUCAGUGCCAGCAGCCGCGGUAAUACGGAGGGUGCGAGCGUUAAUCGGAAUUUCUGGGCGUAAAGCGCUCGUAGGCGGUAUGUCAAGUCAAGGGUGAAAUCCCCGCGCUCAACGUGGGAACUGCCUUGGAAACUGGGAAACUGGAGUGUGUGAGAGGAUAGCGGAAUUCCAGGUGUAGGAGUGAAAUCCGUAGAUAUCUGGAGGAACAUCAGUGGCGAAGGCGACUAUCUGGCACAUAACUGACGCUGAGGAGCGAAAGCGUGGGUAGCGAACAGGAUUAGAUACCCCUGUAGUC
rnacentral:rRNA from 1 species